rnacentral:rRNA from 1 species
UGGGGAAUAUUGGACAAUGGGCGAAAGCCUGAUCCAGCCAUGCCGCGUGUGUGAAGAAGGUCUUCGGAUUGUAAAGCACUUUAAGUUGGGAGGAAGGGCAGUAAGCGAAUACCUUGCUGUUUUGACGUUACCGACAGAAUAAGCACCGGCUAACUCUGUGCCAGCAGCCGCGGUAAGACAGAGGGUGCAAGCGUUAAUCGGAAUUACUGGGCGUAAAGCGCGCGUAGGUGGUUCGUUAAGUUGAAUGUGAAAGCCCCGGGCUCAACCUGGGAACUGCAUCCAAAACUGGCGAGCUAGAGUAGGGCAGAGGGUGGUGGAAUUUCCUGUGUAGCGGUGAAAUGCGUAGAGAUAGGAAGGAACACCAGUGGCGAAGGCGACCACCUGGGCUCAUACUGACACUGAGGUGCGAAAGCGUGGGGAGCAAACAGG